rnacentral:rRNA from 1 species
GACGAACGCUGGCGGCGUGCUUAACACAUGCAAGUCGAACGGAAAGGCCCUGCUUUUGUGGGGUGCUCGAGUGGCGAACGGGUGAGUAACACGUGAGUAACCUGCCCUUGACUUUGGGAUAACUUCAGGAAACUGGGGCUAAUACCGGAUAGGAGCUCCUGCUGCAUGGUGGGGGUUGGAAAGUUUCGGCGGUUGUGGAUGGACUCGCGGCUUAUCAGCUUGUUGGUGGGGUAGUGGCUUACCAAGGGUUUGACGGGUAGCCGGCCUGAGAGGGUGACCGGCCACAAUGGGACUGAGAUACGGCCCAGACUCCUACGGGAGGCAGCAGUGGGGAAUAUUGCACAAUGGGCGGAAGCCUGAUGCAGCAACGCCGCGUGCGGGAUGACGGCCUUCGGGUUGUAAACCGCUUUCGCCUGUGACGAAGCGUGAGUGACGGUAAUGGGUAAAGAAGCACCGGCUAACUACGUG